rnacentral:rRNA from 1 species
UACGGAGGGGGCAAGCGUUAUCCGGAAUCACUGGGUUUAAAGGGUGCGUAGGUGGGUAAGUAAGUCCGUGGUGAAAUCUCUGAGCUUAACUGAGAAACUGCCGUGGAUACUAUUUAUCUUGAAUAUUGUGGAGGUGAGCGGAAUAUGUCAUGUAGCGGUGAAAUGCUUAGAUAUGACAUAGAACACCAAUUGCGAAGGCAGCUCACUGCACAAUUAUUGACGCUGAGGCACGAAAGCGUGGGGAGCGAACAGG